GACGUAGGGCGCGAGCGUUGUCCGGAUUUAUUGGGCGUAAAGAGCUCGUAGGCGGCUCGUCGCGUCGGCUGUGAAAACCCGGGGCUCAACCCCGGGCCUGCAGUCGAUACGGGCGGGCUAGAGUCCGGUAGGGGAGACUGGAAUUCCUGGUGUAGCGGUGAAAUGCGCAGAUAUCAGGAGGAACACCGGUGGCGAAGGCGGGUCUCUGGGCCGGAACUGACGCUGAGGAGCGAAAGCGUGGGGAGCGAACAGG
rnacentral:rRNA from 1 species